rnacentral:rRNA from 1 species
ACGAGAUUCUCACUGUCCCUAUCUACUUUCUAGCGAAACCACAGCCAAGGGAACGGGCUUGGAAUAAUCAGCGGGGAAAGAAGACCCUUUAGAGCUUGACUCCAGUCCGGCAUUGUUCGGAGACAUGCCGAGGUGUAGCAUAAGUGGGAGGUGAGGAUAAGCCGUGCGGCGGAUUCGUCUUGUCGCGCGGUGCCUUGUCGCCCUUGAAAUACCACUACUCGCAUCGUUUCCUUACUUACUCGGUAAUGCGGAGCGCGUGCUGUCACGCCUGUGGUUUCGUCUGGCACGGCGAUCCGUUCGCGUUCGCAUCGUCGCGCGCGUUCGGUCACGUGUCGCGUACCCGUUACGGCUGGCACGCACGAUCGAUUCCCGGUAGUCUUAAGCGCAGAUACCGUCGUCCGUAAUUUACAAAGCCGGCUGCGACGCGGCGCUUCGCCGUUCGGUUCGAACGUGGCAACGCGUUCGGUCGGGCGCGAGCGCCGUUUGCGGCCGGUUGCGGACGUCGUUGCGCGAUCCGAUCCGAGGACACGGCCAGGUGGGGAGUUUGACUGGGGCGGUACAUCUGUCAAAGAAUAACGCAGGUGUCCUAAGGCCAGCUCAGCGAGGACGGAAACCUCGCGUAGAGCAAAAGGGCAAAAGCUGGCUUGAUCCCGGACGCUCAGUACGCGUAGGGACUGCGAAAGCAUCGGCCUCUCGAUCCUCUCGUCUGCUGAAGAGUUUUCAGCGAGAGGUGUCAGAAAAGUUACCUCAGGGAUAACUGGCUUGUGGCAGCCAAGCGUUCAUA